CGUGUAACUCAUUGUCUUGAGUCCCUGUGGAGGAAGUGAAUGUGAAAUACUUCAGGUCUCGGGUCACUGUCGUAGUGGGCGUCACUUUUGGGCUUUUAUUCAAAUGUUUUCUCUGUAACUUCCUCCCUCGGGCUCGGGCUGCUUUUGCACGUUCAAAUGAUGAGGAGGACAGUCUCUCCAUUGAUCUGUGUGAAAACUCGUUCUGUUCUCCCAGAAGGCUGCGUGUAGAUCUAUAAAGAGGAGCAGAUGAAACAUGUGACCGCUGUGCUGUUGAUCUAAUGUGUUUGUGUGUCAGCUGCUCACCAAAGAGCCGGUGGAGGCAGGAACUCCAGAGACCUUCGGGGAUUUCGACAGUCAGUCCAGGAAGUUUUAUUUUCUGAGUGACGAGACGGACGAUAGAGACCGCACGACCCAGCGCUGCCGAGAGCUCCAGCAGCAGGUGUCCGUUCUGAUGGAGGAGAAGUCCUCGCUGCAGGUGGAGCUUCAGUCUCUGCGGGAGCGUCUCAAUCACUGCGAGCCACACCACGUCUCCUCCACCAUCA